rnacentral:rRNA from 1 species
CCAGAUUCCUACGGGAGGCAGCAGUGGGAAUAUUGCACAAUGGGCGAAAGCCUGAUGCAGCGACGCCGCGUGAGGGAUGACGGCCUUCGGGUUGUAACCUCUUUCAGCAGGGAAGAAGCGCAAGUGACGGUACCUGCAGAAGAAGCACCGGCUAACUACGUGCCAGCAGCCGCGGUAAUACGUAGGGUGCGAGCGUUGUCCGGAUUUAUUGGGCGUAAAGAGCUCGUAGGCGGCCUGUCGCGUCGGAUGUGAAAGCCCGGGGCUUAACUCCGGGUCUGCAUUCGAUACGGGCAGGCUAGAGUGUGGUAGGGGAGAUCGGAAUUCCUGGUGUAGCGGUGAAAUGCGCAGAUAUCAGGAGGAACACCGGUGGCGAAGGCGGAUCUCUGGGCCAUUACUGACGCUGAGGAGCGAAAGCGUGGGGAGCGAACAGGAUUAGAUACCCUGGUAGUCCACGCCGUAAACGUUGGGAACUAGGUGUGGGUCACAUUCCACGUGGUCCGCGCCGCAGCUAACGCAUUAAGUUCCCCGCCUGGGGAGUACGGCCGCAAGGCUAAAACUCAAAGGAAUUGACGGGGGCCCGCACAAGCAGCGGAGCAUGUGGCUUAAUUCGACGCAACGCGAAGAACCUUACCAAGGCUUGACAUAUACCGGAAACGUGCAGAGAUGUGCGCCCCCUUGUGGUCGGUAUACAGGUGGUGCAUGGUUGUCGUCAGCUCGUGUCGUGAGAUGUUGGGUUAAGUCCCGCAACGAGCGCAACCCUCGUUCUGUGUUGCCAGCAUGCCUUUCGGGGUGAUGGGGACUCACAGGAGACUGCCGGGGUCAACUCGGAGGAAGGUGGGGACGACGUCAAAUCAUCAUGCCCCUUAUGUCUUGGGCUGCACACGUGCUACAAUGGCCGGUACAAUGAGCUGCGAUACCGCGAGGUGGAGCGAAUCUCAAAAAGCCGGUCUCAGUUCGGAUUGGGGUCUGCAACUCGACCCCAUGAAGUCGGAGUUGCUAGUAAUCGCAGAUCAGCAUUGCUGCGGUGAAUACGUUCCCGGGCCUUGUACACACCGCCCGUCACGUCACGAAAGUCGGUAACACCCGAAGCCGGUGGCCCAACCCGUAAG